AUACGGAGGAUGCAAGCGUUAUCCGGAUUCAUUGGGCUUAAAGGGUGCGCAGGCGGAUAUUUAAGUCAGUGGUGAAAUCCCGGGGCUCAACCUCGGAACUGCCAUUGAUACUGAAUAUCUGGAAUACGGUUGAAGUGGGCGGAAUGUAGCAUGUAGCGGUGAAAUGCAUAGAGAUGCUACAGAACACCGAUCGCGAAGGCAGCUCACUAAGCCGAUAUUGACGCUCAGGCACGAAAGCGUGGGGAGCGAACAGGAUUAGAAACCCUAGUAGUCC
rnacentral:rRNA from 1 species